CAGGUCACACUGCCGAGGAGUAGGACUCUGCCCAUUUCCUCUGCCGGAGAGCACUGAGCUGUCCACAAACAGGGACUUUCCACUUUCAGCAAAACAGACCGCACAGAAAGAUCUGCGAUUGUCUGAGGAGGAAAGGAACCUAACUGCUCACCAAAAGCAGUCUACUUCUACCUGCACGGUUUUUUGUGUGGGGGACAGGGAAAGAUGCCUGCCUCUGGUUGCGACUGGGCACUCCACCACCACCGGAACAGCAAUGCCUAGGCAGCUAGCGCUUCUAGCAGUUCCAUCACGACCAAGUCCAGCGAGCUGAGGCUCAAUCGCACGUCCAGGUGCUUUACUCUCCUGCCUUGGAACCAGCACAAGGAGCCACUGAAUCUGUCUGCCAACUCCAUACCCACCAGUCUCCUCCGACUCUCCGGGACACCAGCACUCCUGCGCAUUUCCUACUCCAGUCGUUUGUUUUGCCUGCCCCAUUCUUGAUGUCCCCUGGAUGAAGCAGGUGACCCUGCAUCUUGUCAGACACCUCAACCAUGCCACUCCUGACAGCCCCUUGAGUGAUGUGUGUCACACACUCUCCAUGCACUGAUCACAGUUAGGGAGAAGCUCAGACUGAACACACACUCUCUCAGGCUACAGUGUAUCUUUUGGAUCCAGAUUUAUGUAAUUUUUGGACUCUCAUAAAUGUAACUUGGCUUUUUCAG